GACGUACUGCGCGAACGUUAUUCGGAAUCACUGGGCUUAAAGGGUGCGCAGGCGGCUUCCAAAGCCCGAAGUGAAAGGUCCCGGCCCAACCGGGGACGUGCUUCGGGGACUUGGAGGCUCGGGCGAGCUAGGGGUCCGUGGAACUCCCGGUGGAGCGGUGAAAUGUGUUGAGAUCGGGAGGAACGCCGGUGGCGAAAGCGACGGACUGGGGCUUUGCCGACGCUCAGGCACGAAAGCCAGGGGAGCGAACGGG
rnacentral:rRNA from 2 species